CCUACGGGAGGCUGCAGUGAGGAAUAUUGGUCAAUGGGCGUAAGACUGAACCAGCCAAGUCGCGUGAGGGAUGAAGGUUCUAUGGAUCGUAAACCUCUUUUAUCAGGGAAUAAAGUCUGGGACGUGUCCCCUGUUGUAUGUACCUUAUGAAUAAGGAUCGGCUAACUCCGUGCCAGCAGCCGCGGUAAUACGGAGGAUCCGAGCGUUAUCCGGAUUUAUUGGGUUUAAAGGGUGCGUAGGCGGUAUGCCAAGUCAGCGGUAAAAUCGCGGGGCUCAACCCCGCUCCGCCGUUGAAACUGGCAGUCUUGAGUGGGCGAGAAGUAUGCGGAAUGCGUGGUGUAGCGGUGAAAUGCAUAGAUAUCGCGCAGAACUCCGAUUGCGAAGGCAGCAUACCGGCGCCCAACUGACGCUGAAGCACGAAAGCGUGGGUAUCGAACAGGAUUAGAUACCCGAGUAGUC
rnacentral:rRNA from 1 species